rnacentral:rRNA from 1 species
UACGAAGGGGGCUAGCGUUGUUCGGAUUUACUGGGCGUAAAGCGCACGUAGGCGGGUCGUUAAGUCAGGGGUGAAAUCCCGGAGCUCAACUCCGGAACUGCCUUUGAUACUGGCGACCUUGAGGCUGGAAGAGGUUAGUGGAAUUCCCAGUGUAGAGGUGAAAUUCGUAGAUAUUGGGAAGAACACCAGUGGCGAAGGCGGCUCACUGGUCCGGUACUGACGCUGAGGUGCGAAAGCGUGGGGAGCAAACAGG